CCUACGGGGGGCAGCAGUGGGGAAUAUUGCACAAUGGGGGAAACCCUGAUGCAGCGACGCCGCGUGAAGGAAGAAGUAUUUCGGUAUGUAAACUUCUAUCAGCAGGGAAGAAAAUGACGGUACCUGACUAAGAAGCCCCGGCUAACUACGUGCCAGCAGCCGCGGUAAUACGUAGGGGGCAAGCGUUAUCCGGAUUUACUGGGUGUAAAGGGAGCGUAGGCGGUUUAGCAAGUCAGAAGUGAAAGCCCGGGGCUCAACUCCGGGACUGCUUUUGAAACUGUACGGCUGGAGUGCAGGAGAGGUAAGUGGAAUUCCUAGUGUAGCGGUGAAAUGCGUAGAUAUUAGGAGGAACACCAGUGGCGAAGGCGGCUUACUGGACUGUAACUGACGUUGAGGCUCGAAAGCGUGGGGAGCAAACAGGAUUAGAUACCCCAGUAGUC
rnacentral:rRNA from 1 species